GGACAUUCCAAGUUAUGCAUGGAGUAUACAAGGCCCCCAGGAAAGGAGCUGAUAAGCUGGUCCUCUGGGCACAAACAACAGCAAAUUUCCAUCUUGUGGUGCCAGCAUAGAAAUUUUUAUGCUAGGUUCAUGCCAUUAUAGAAAUUUCUGUGCAGACACUCAUUCGACUGUCCUGCAUCAAUAUUGCCUGUGAGCACAUCCGCAUGCACACAAUUCCUUGAGUUGGAUGACUGCAAGUUCUUAUGCACUGGUUUAACAGAAUUAACCUUCUCCUAAAUUAGGAGGUAUGUUUUUAGUGCUUUGUGCACUGGGCAAACCUGACAUUCCAAGUUGCGCAUGAAGUAUACAAAGCCCCCAAGAGAGGAGCAGAUAAGGUGCUCUCCCCUGAGCAUGCAUAACAACAAAUUCUGCAAAUUGUUCCAUCUUGUGAUGCCAGUAUAGGAAUUUCUAUGCUAGUUUCAUGUCAUUAUAGAAUCAUAGAAAUUCCUGUGCAGACACUCAUUCUACCGUCCUGCAUCAAUGUUGCCUGCAAGCACAUCCCCAUGUGACAAUUCCUUCGGUUGGAUGAGUGCAUAUUCUUAUGCACAGAUUCAGUAGAAAUAACCUUCCCCUAAAUUAAGAGGUUUGUUUUUGCUGCUUUGUCUGCUGGGCAAACCUGAGUCCUGACAUUCCAAGUUACGCUUGAAGUAUACAAAGCAUCAAAGCCCCCUAGAGAGGAGCAGAUAAGGUGCUCCCCUGAGCAUACAUAACAACAAAUUCUGCAAAUUGCUCCAUCUUGUGAUGUCAGCAUAGGAAUUUCUAUGCUAGAUUCAUGUCAUUAUAGAAUCAUAGAAAUUUCUGUGCAGACACUCAUUCUACCAUCCUGCAUCAAUGUUGCCUGCAAGCACAUCCCUAUGUGACAGUUCCUUCAGUUGGAUGAGUGCAUAUUCUUAUGCACAAGUUAGUGGAAAUAACCUUCCCCUAAAUUAAGAGGUUUGUUUUUUGCUGCUUUGUCUGCUGGGCAAACCUGAGUCCUGACAUUCCAAGUUACGCUUGAAGUAUACAAAGCAUCAAAGCCCCUUAGAGAGGAGCAGAUAAGGUGCUACCCUGAGCAUACAUAGCAACAAAUUCUGCAAAUUGCUCCAUCUUGCAUUGCCAUA
rnacentral:lncRNA from 1 species